AUUGAACGCUGGCGGCAGGCCUAACACAUGCAAGUCGAGCGGUUGAAGGGAGCUUGCUCCUGGAUUCAGCGGCGGACGGGUGAGUAAUGCCUAGGAAUCUGCCUGGUAGUGGGGGAUAACGUCCGGAAACGGGCGCUAAUACCGCACACGUCCUGAGGGAGAAAGUGGGGGAUCUUCGGACCUCACGCUAUCAGAUGGGCCUAGGCCGGAUUAGCUAGUUGGUGGGGUAAAGGCCUACCAAGGCGACGAUCCGUAACUGGUAUGAGAGGAUGAUCCGUCACCCGGGAACGGAGACACGGUCCAGACUCCUACGGGAGGCAGCAGUGGGGAAUAUUGGACGAUGUGCGAAAGCCUGAUCCAAGCAAGCCGCGUGUGUGAAGAAGGUCUGCGGAUUGUAAAGCACUUUAAGUUGGGAGGAAGGGUAGUAAGUUAAUAGCUUGCUGUUUAGACGUUACCAACAGAAUAAGCACCGGCUAACUUCGU
rnacentral:rRNA from 1 species